CCGGAAACCCCCCCUCGACGCCUCUCGAUUUGAAAUCCCCACCCCGAAGUCGGAAAAAAUUAGAAGAGGAAAAAGGAAAAGCUCUCGAUCUAGGGAUCCCCUUCCCGUCGGCCUCUCGUUCCCCUCCUCCCCCCAAAACCCUAGGCCAGCUUAGCGGCGGAGCUCGCCCGCCCCGGACCAUGGCCGAGGACCACUACUCCUCCGCGUCGUCCGCCGCCCCGUCGGCUGCGGCGGCCGCGGCGGCCGCGGCGGCGGCGGCGGUGGGGUCGUCGGUGAUCCCGAUCGUCAACAAGCUGCAGGACAUCUUCGCGCAGCUGGGGAGCAGCUCCACGAUCGACCUGCCGCAGGUGGCCGUGGUGGGGAGCCAGAGCAGCGGCAAGUCCAGCGUCCUCGAGGCGCUCGUCGGCCGCGACUUCCUCCCCCGGGGCUCCGACAUCUGCACGCGCCGCCCCCUCGUGCUUCAGCUCGUGCACCAGCCGCGACGACCCACAGACGCCGAGGCCGAUGAGUGGGGCGAGUUCCUGCACCUCUCGGGCCGCCGCUUCUACGACUUUAGAGAUAUCCGGCGUGAGAUCCAGGCAGAAACGGAUCGGGAGGCGGGUGGUAACAAGGGUGUGUCAGAUAGGCAGAUCCGUUUGAAGAUUUUUUCACCAAAUGUUCUUAACAUUACUUUGGUCGAUUUGCCUGGAAUCACUAAGGUGCCAGUUGGUGACCAACCAACUGAUAUUGAGGCCAGAAUAAGGACUAUGAUAAUGUCGUACAUCAGACACAAGACAUGUAUCAUCUUAGCUGUUUCACCAGCAAAUGCAGAUUUAGCAAAUUCUGAUGCUCUUCAAAUGGCUCGGGUUGCUGAUCCUGAUGGUUCUCGAACAAUCGGUGUUAUCACAAAGCUGGACAUAAUGGACAGGGGCACUGAUGCCUGCAACUUUCUGCUGGGAAAUGUGAUCCCUUUAAAACUCGGCUAUGUUGGCGUGGUAAACCGAAGCCAGCAGGAUAUCAACUCUGACCUUAGUAUCAAAGAUGCUCUGGCUCGUGAAGAAAAAUUCUUCCGUACUCAGCCGGCAUAUCAUGGUCUUACUCAGUACUGCGGAAUACCGCAAUUAGCAAAGAAGCUAAACCAGAUCCUGGUCCAACAUAUAAAAACAGUUCUGCCGGGGCUUAAGUCACGCAUAAGCAGUCAAUUGACUGCUGUUGCUAAGGAGCUUGCUAUAUAUGGUGAUCCUGUUGAUUCAAAGGCCGGGCAAGGUGCGAAGCUUUUGAACAUUCUAGCUAAAUACUGUGAAGCGUUCUCCUCGAUGGUGGAAGGAAAAAAUGAAGAUAUAUCAACCAUUGAACUUUCUGGAGGAGCAAGAAUCCAUUAUAUUUUUCAGUCUAUCUUUGUAAAAAGCUUAGAGGAGGUUGACCCUUGCGAGGAUGUUACCGAUGAAGACAUCCGCAUGGCUAUCCAAAAUGCAACUGGUCCUAGAAGUGCGCUGUUUGUACCUGAAGUACCAUUUGAAGUCCUUGUACGUAGGCAGAUCAGCAGAUUGCUUGAUCCAAGUCUUCAGUGUGCACAAUUCAUAUAUGAUGAGCUAGUAAAGAUGAGCCAUCACUGCCUUGCAACAGAGCUGCAGCAGUUUCCUAUACUCCGCAGAAGCAUGGAUGAAGUAAUUGGGAAGUUUUUGCGGGAUGGGCUUAAACCAGCAGAAAGUAUGAUAGCACACAUUAUUGAGAUGGAGGAGGAUUACAUAAACACAUCACACCCAAAUUUUAUUGGUGGCAGCAAGGCUGUUGAGCAAGCACAACAGCAAGUUAGGUCUGCUAAAAUGUCAUCAUCGGUGGUAAGAAAGGAUGGAGUUGAUGCUGAUAAGGUACAGGCUUCUGAAAAAACUCAAAAAACACGCGCAGUAUUGGGUAGAACUGUAAAUGGAGUAAUUACUGAUCACAUCCAGGGUGUAAGGCCUGCGUCCGAGGCUGAGAGACCAGGAUCUUCUGGUAGUGGAAGCACAUCCUUUUGGAAUUCAAUAUUUACUUCCAAUGAGGACCGUACACAUGCAUCUGCAAAAGAUAAUUCAGCUAGCAGAUCGUAUGCUGUGCCUGCACCCAAUCUGGAACAUUCAUUCUCCACGAUACAGUUAAGAGAGCCACCAGUCGUCCUUAAACCUUCAGAACACCAGUCUGAGCAGGAAGCACUCGAAAUAGCAAUCACAAAAUUGCUAUUGAAGUCAUAUUACAAUAUAGUCAGGAAAAAUGUGGAGGACUUCAUACCAAAAGCAAUUAUGCAUUUCCUGGUUAAUCACACAAAAAGGGCGCUGCAUAAUUACCUCAUAACAAAACUUUACAAGUAGAGAUGAUCUCUUGGAGGACUUGCUCAAAGAACCUGAUGAGAUAACCAUAAAGAGGAAGCAGAUAAAAGAAAAUCUUAAGGUUCUUCAGCAAGCUUACAAAACUUUGGACGAGAUACCACUCGACGCUGAGGCAGUUGAGAGGGGUGGCUACUCCCUUGACUCUGAUGUGAUUGGUCUACCAAGGGCCCAUGGGAUUUCCUCAUCCCUUCAUAGAUUCAAUGAUGGAAGUUCACCAUAUUCAACCCCAAAGCAAUCAAGGUCAAGGAGAUCCAACCAUUCAGGGGAGCAGCCCCCUUUCAAUACCAAUAUGAGUGGCAAUGGUUUUUGAUGCCACAUUUCACUCUCGCCACUCCCAGAUUGGUGAUUGAACCACAUCAAGUUUGUUGGCACCCAUAGAUAUGUUUUUUUUUCUAGUUAUAUUCUUUGUAGCGCUGCGCCGAUGAAGCCUGACGUGGUGCGAGUUUUGUCAUUUUGCCUUUCUGUACAGUAUAUCUUUGCCCAGUCAUUUUGUCUUCAAUGAUAUCAGUGAUGGGUAUAGUUUUGUUCGGACGGUCGGACCCAUGGAAGAAGCUAUGGAAAAUUCUGCUAGGUGUAGUAGUGCCGAGGGCCUGUAUGUUACCACGGAUUUGCCGUGCAAAAUAUGACAUGGCUGGUAUGGUGGUACAAAAAGUUGCGACGUCACACUUGUUCCUUUUUUUUCUACUUUGAAUUGUGAAGCCUUCGUUUAAUAAUUGUGAUUGUUAAUCAGUAUUGUGAUUUGGUGAAUAAUUUUUAAGCAACAGGAUCGUUCUUUGUUUUA